rnacentral:lncRNA from 1 species
CGCACUCCUCCUUACUAUGGGGAUUUUUCACACAUCAGCUUGUUGUGUCAUUCCAGAAAUGUGGACAGAACCAGAAAUACACCACUUAGUCCCCAGGAAGCCCACCUUCCAGGGCAGGCAGGUAGUGAGAAGGGGCUCUUUCUCUGCUCUGGGCUCAGCAUUUGGGGUCACAGAGGGGAGCUAGCCUGAGAGGCUGUGCUGGCAAAGGAAGGAAUUGUGAAUGAUCUGGGGCCAUGGGUGAGGGUUCCUGAGGCAAAAAACCAGAAACUACACUGAGGUGAGGAUUUUCAAGACCUUGAUCCUGGUCUUGGCUGCUGUCUGAAGCUUGGGAUGCAGGCUCUUGCUGCACGUACCUGAGGAUGAGGCAGCCACAGGCUUUAUUUGGUUCCUGGUGAUUCUACAUGUGUCAUGAAUUACACCCCUGAGAAAGCCAUUCCAUUAAAUCUCACAGCAACAUCUCCAGGAGAGGGGACAGAUAUUGAUGUCUGUGGUGUCUGUGGCAACCCAGGACCAGUGUAAAAGAAACUAUGAGAUCUUAGGAAAGUCAUUAAUUUUUUUGAUCUUUACUUCCUUUUACAAAAUAUCUCAAGAAUACCAGCCUCCUUAGGGUUAUUGGGUGGAACAAAUGAGAAAAUAGUUAAGAAUGCAGCGGAUCAACUGCCAAUCCCUGCGCAAGUAUGUUCAGUUAGUUCUGUUCUGUCUCCAGUUCACUCUGUUCUCACGUCUAGGCCUUGGACAGCUACUAAUGUGGUCCCACAAGAUUGUAAACUUUUUUUCUCUCCUUUUUUUUUCUCUUCAGUAUUAGGGAUUGAACUCAGGCCCUUGCACUUGCCAGGCAGGCACAGCACCGCUGAGCUACAUCCCUGGCCCAAGAUUGUAAACUUUUAACAUUAUUGUGUGAUUUUUUUAGCGACACUAUUCAUGACUUGAUUGUCCAUUGCUGGAGUGUAGAUUAUAAGUAAAAUGCAGAGAUUACCAGUAAUAGUAUUGCAACCUACCUAAACUAUGUGCCUGUGGAAAGAGGUGUCUGUUAAGAAAACAUGUAAGUUUUCAUAUUUCAUUAUUAAACUUGGGCUUCUUUUAUUUCAUAGAAUAAUUUAAUAAGUUAAAAUAUUAAAAAUAAAUGAAGUUUUGUUACUUAUAUAUAUCAACUAUAUUACAUAUUUUAUAUGCAGCUCAAGACAAUUCUUCACUCAGUGUGGCCCAGACAAGCCAUAAGGUUGGAUAUCCAUAGUCUGGAUCCUUACUACCACAGCAUACUCAUCCCUCAGGAGCAAGUGAGAAAAUGCAAGCUCUUGGGCCCAUCCCAGACCUUAUAAGUCAGAAUCUGCAGUUUAUCAAGAUCCCCAGUUACUCAUACAUGCUGUAAAAUUCGAGAGCUGGAAGACCUACCUCCCAGGCUGGCCUCAACUGUCUGGAUGAGGAGACUGUGAAAGAUCUGGACCUCAAUGUCAAGUACUCUG